GCGAACGCUGGCGGCAGGCCUAAUACAUGCAAGUCGAGCGCACCUUCGGGUGAGCGGCGGACGGGUGAGUAACGCGUGGGAACGUGCCCUUUGGUACGGAACAACUGAGGGAAACUUCAGCUAAUACCGUAUGUGCCCUUCGGGGGAAAGAUUUAUCGCCAUUGGAGCGGCCCGCGUUGGAUUAGGUAGUUGGUGAGGUAAAGGCUCACCAAGCCUACGAUCCAUAGCUG
rnacentral:rRNA from 1 species